rnacentral:rRNA from 1 species
CCUACGGGGGACAGCAGUGAGGAAUAUUGGUCAAUGGGCGCAAGCCUGCACCAGCCACGUUGCGUGAGGGAUGACGGUCCUCUGGAUUGUAACCCUCUUUUGUCGGGGAGCAAGGCCAGCCACGUGUGGCGGAAAGGAGAGUACCCGAAGACAAAGCAUCGACUAACUCCGUGCCAGCAGCCGCGGUCAUAGGGAGGAUGCGAGCUGUAUUCGGAUUUAUUGGGUUUAAAGGCUGCGUGGGCGGAAUGUUAAGUCAGCGUUCAAAUGUCGGUGCUCAACACCGGCCUGCCGUUGAAACUGGGCUUCUUGAGUGAGCGAGAAGUAUGUGGAAUGCGUGGUGUAGCGGUGAAAUGCAUAGAUAUCACGCAGAACUCCGAUGGCGAAGGCAGCAUACCGGCGCUCAACUGACGCUGAGGCACGAAAGCGUGGGGAUCGAACAGGAUUAGAUACCCCAGUAGUC